CAAUUGUGUACAAGCCACCUAGCUAAUAAAAUACUGGGGCUAGCGGUCAUUACUUACAUUUCAACCUCAGCGAUUCCCUAAUUGAGGCGCAACAGAGUUCACCGGCAAAUGCAGGAACACCGGAAAUAAUAACUAAACCAACGAACGAGAAAUGGUGGAGGCUACCAGAAUGAAGAGACAUUUUUCCGAAUAAACGUGGAGGAGGAAGGUCCAACCAUUGAAGAGAGUGUCAAUCAGUAGACAUGGAGGAUGGGAAGCCUGAUCUGCUGCUGGUCAAAGAGGAGACAAUAGAAGAUGGACCAGAGAGCAUUCAUCUGCUAAGUGGACUAAAGAUAGGGGAUAAGGUCUUUGGCUGGAGGCUAAUAGUGG